UGGGAAGUUGCGACAGCUGGACACACCGCUGUAUGUUUCUUUGAUUUUUUUUCAUUUCUUUUUUAACUGGAAUCUUCAAUUUCCUCGUCUGCUCUGUCUAGGCAGCUGGACAUUUGCCCCAGGAGAGGAGAAAGGAAAACACAAGCUAAUGUAAUCCACAAUCCUCUCCAACACACACACCUCAAACAUGUCCGACCCAGGAAGGCUGAUACAGAGGAGCGAGAAAGUGUUGCUCACUCGACUGGAUUUGCGUAGGUACGAAUGAUGCUGGAUAACACAGCCAGGAAUAGCAGGAUUUGGUGAUUGUGUAACGGAUGGGGCCUUGUUGAAACCCACCGUACACACACACACACACACACACACACACACACACACACAGACAUGCUGCUCACACACUCCUCGGCUUCCUGAAGGCACUCCCACAUGAGACUAUUUCCUUGCUUUCUCUCUCUAUUUUAUUCCACUCCUUCACUCUCUCUCUCUCUCUCUCUGCCACACACCCACACAUACACACACACACACACACAAACACACACACAGCCCUUGCGUGCAUCGGUCAUGAGUGAUCCUCAUUGCGGGCUUUGUGGGGCGCCCCAACCCGUCUGUGCUAUGCGAAUGACUCAGCACAUCAAAAGGCGAGGAUGCAGGCACAUACAUGACCCUCACGUGAAUGUGCAAAUUAAGGAGCCUUGGAAAAUUUCAAUAUGGAGUCUGUUUACCUCUGUGUUCUCUAUUUACAGCGAGAGGGACAGACUGACUGAUUGACAACGCCAAGGAG